UACGUAGGGUGCGAGCGUUAAUCGGAAUUACUGGGCGUAAAGCGUGCGCAGGCGGUGAUGUAAGACAGGUGUGAAAUCCCCGGGCUUAACCUGGGAACUGCAUUUGUGACUGCAUCGCUGGAGUGCGGCAGAGGGAGAUGGAAUUCCGCGUGUAGCAGUGAAAUGCGUAGAUAUCGGGAGGAACACCUGAGAUGUAGAUGGCUUACUGGACCGUAACUGACGCUGAGGCACGAAAGCGUGGGUAGCAAACAGG
rnacentral:rRNA from 1 species